UCUAUUGCGCGGUUGUUGCCCCCAUUAAGCCGGGAACCAGACACUUUUGUGGCAUAGUUUU
rnacentral:sRNA from 1 species